AUCGUCAAAAAGUAAAGUAGAAAACCCUUUGUCAUUCCAAUUCCAAUUGUUUUCACAAGGUCUUCUUCUGCGUUUUCUCCCGCAACUAGGACAACAGCGAGAGAUAACGAAAUGGGGUUCUUCUCCUUUCUGCUGGCUCGUUUAUUCUUUGAUUCACUCUUCGUCCUCCCCGCACGGCGGAUUUCAGAUCUCUCUAUCUCUUCGUUCUCCACAGGUGGCAGCGUUGUUCCCUGUUCAAGUGCUCUUUGCUAACCACCGGCGCCGUGUUUCUCCUAUUUUUCGUUCUUCUUCUCAUCGUGGGCUCUUCUUCUUCUUAGAUAAGAGGUGAAUUCCCCCUUUUCUUGAAUCGCGAUUUCCCCUUUUUUUAAUAAGAAUAGCACCUAGGGUUUGUGAGUUAUACUGAAAUCUGUCCACCUAAUCUCAUUUUAUAGUUCUAGUCGGUAGAUAGUUAAGUUUAUUGAUUGUUCUCUAGCUUUUAGUUCACCUGAUUGGAUUCAAACAGAUUAUUUGCAGCGGGUUGAAGAGCAAUGGUGUUGUUUUGACCAAAGUAGAUGUUCUGCAGAAGAAUGAAUUGGGUUGCAACAAAACCUACAAAAAGGAAUCAAAAUUGGAGCAAGAUGCCACACUUCAGUUCAGUUUUAGGUUUUGGCGUGGUUCAGGAACAACUGUUGUUACUCCAUAUGACCAAAACAUAAGUGGUUGUGCCUGCCCUUCAAGUGUUAGGUAUGCAUUUUUUUCAACAACAAGUUCUUCAUGUUCUUUUGAAGCCUUCAUAAGUGGUUGUGCCUACCCUUCAAGUGUUCGGUUUGAUGAAAACAAUUUAGCGGAAGCGGUUAUGAGAGUUCAUUGUGGUUAUUGAUGAGGUUGCAAUGCAGAGACAACAACAUUAUGGACUAUGGAGAAGCUGUACAAGGCCAACCAUGUCGGGGGGAGUACAAACAUUAUCUAGGGUGAAAAGGGAUUAUGAUCAAAGAAAGGUUGGAAUUGAUAAUGAUCACUGAAAGAAAGGGAUUAUGUCCAAUUUUAGUUGUAUUUAUUAUUGAGUAAAUAUUGUCUAUCAUGGGAGCAGUAACCAUUACUUUAGGUUUUUAUAGUAGGAGGUACUUUGUAGUAUCCAUAGAAUGGAGGUAAUCCACUAUGCAUUUAUGUAAAACUACAAACAUUUGAAUAAAGGAUCAUAUAUUUGCCUCA